CCUACGGGAGGCAGCAGUGGGGAAUUAUUGGACAAUGGGCGCAAGCCUGAUCCAGCCAUGCCGCGUGAGUGAAGAAGGCUUCGGGUUGUAAAGCUCUUUCAGACGGAAAGAAAUCGGUGUGUCUAAUACACGCACUGGAUGACGGUACCGUAAGAAGAAGCACCGGCUAUAUAACGWGCCAGCAGCCGCGGUAAU
rnacentral:rRNA from 1 species